rnacentral:rRNA from 1 species
AGAGUUUGAUCCUGGCUCAGGAUGAACGCUGGCGGCGUGCUUAACACAUGCAAGUCGAACGAUGAAGCCCAGCUUGCUGGGUGGAUUAGUGGCGAACGGGUGAGUAACACGUGAGUAACCUGCCCCUGACUCUGGGAUAAGCCCGGGAAACUGGGUCUAAUACCGGAUAUGACCAUGGGACGCAUGUCUUGUGGUGGAAAGAUUUAUCGGUUGGGGAUGGACUCGCGGCCUAUCAGCUUGUUGGUGAGGUAAUGGCUCACCAAGGCGACGACGGGUAGCCGGCCUGAGAGGGUGACCGGCCACACUGGGACUGAGACACGGCCCAGACUCCUACGGGAGGCAGCAGUGGGGAAUAUUGCACAAUGGGCGCAAGCCUGAUGCAGCGACGCCGCGUGAGGGAUGACGGCCUUCGGGUUGUAAACCUCUUUCAGCAGGGACGAAGCGAGAGUGACGGUACCUGCAGAAGAAGCACCGGCCAACUACGUGCCAGCAGCCGCGGUAAUACGUAGGGUGCGAGCGUUGUCCGGAAUUACUGGGCGUAAAGAGCUCGUAGGCGGUUUGUCGCGUCGUCCGUGAAAACUUGGGGCUCAACCCCAAGCUUGCGGGCGAUACGGGCAGACUUGAGUACUGCAGGGGAGACUGGAAUUCCUGGUGUAGCGGUGAAAUGCGCAGAUAUCAGGAGGAACACCGGUGGCGAAGGCGGGUCUCUGGGCAGUAACUGACGCUGAGGAGCGAAAGCGUGGGUAGCGAACAGGAUUAGAUACCCUGGUAGUCCACGCCGUAAACGGUGGGCGCUAGGUGUGGGUUUCCUUCCACGGGAUCCGUGCCGUAGCUAACGCAUUAAGCGCCCCGCCUGGGGAGUACGGCCGCAAGGCUAAAGCUCAAAGGAAUUGACGGGGGCCCGCACAAGCGGCGGAGCAUGUGGAUUAAUUCGAUGCAACGCGAAGAACCUUACCUGGGUUUGACAUAUACCGGAAAGCCGUAGAGAUACGGCCCCCCUUGUGGUCGGUAUACAGGUGGUGCAUGGCUGUCGUCAGCUCGUGUCGUGAGAUGUUGGGUUAAGUCCCGCAACGAGCGCAACCCUUGUCCUGUGUUGCCAGCGCGUAAUGGCGGGGACUCGCAGGAGACUGCCGGGGUCAACUCGGAGGAAGGUGGGGACGACGUCAAGUCAUCAUGCCCCUUAUGUCCAGGGCUUCACACAUGCUACAAUGGCCGGUACAGAGGGCUGCGAUACCGUGAGGUGGAGCGAAUCCCUUAAAGCCGGUCUCAGUUCGGAUCGGGGUCUGCAACUCGACCCCGUGAAGUCGGAGUCGCUAGUAAUCGCAGAUCAGCAACGCUGCGGUGAAUACGUUCCCGGGCCUUGCACACACCGCCCGUCA